UGAGGCAGGAGAAUUGCUUGAACCCAGGAGGUGGAGGUUGCAGUGAGCCGAGAUUGCGCCACUGCACUCCAGCCUGGGUGACAGAGCGAGACUCCAUCUC
rnacentral:miRNA from 1 species